rnacentral:rRNA from 1 species
GUGGGGAAUAUUGGACAAUGGGGGGAACCCUGAUCCAGCCAUGCCGCGUGUGUGAAGAAGGCCUUUUGGUUGUAAAGCACUUUAAGCGAGGAGGAGGCUACCGAGAUUAAUACUCUUGGAUAGUGGACGUUACUCGCAGAAUAAGCACCGGCUAACUCUGUGCCAGCAGCCACGGUAAUACAGAGGGUGCAAGCGUUAAUCGGAUUUACUGGGCGUAAAGCGCGCGUAGGUGGCCAAUUAAGUCAAAUGUGAAAUCCCCGAGCUUAACUUGGGAAUUGCAUUCGAUACUGGUUGGCUAGAGUAUGGGAGAGGAUGGUAGAAUUCCAGGUGUAGCGGUGAAAUGCGUAGAGAUCUGGAGGAAUACCGAUGGCGAAGGCAGCCAUCUGGCCUAAUACUGACACUGAGGUGCGAAAGCAUGGGGAGCAAACAGGAUUAGAAACCCGUGUAGUCC